ensembl:lncRNA
AGAAGAUGUGAAAGGCAGGACACUGUAGUGCUUGAGAAUGCAGAAGUUGAGAACUUGGCUACGAACUAUAUGUAUCUGUUGAUGGACAGAAACUGGAAGUGGUGUGCAGAAUAAACAUAGAAGAGAAACAGGUGAUUAAUGGGAAAAAAAGUGGAAUUGUUGGUUUUUCUUUUUUUUUCUCUCUUCUCUUCUCUUCUCUUCUCUUCUCUUCUCUUCUCUUCUCUUCUCUUCUCUUCUCUUCUCUUCUCUUCUCUUCUCUUCUCUUCUCUUCUCUUCUCUUCUCUUCUCUUCUCUUCUCUUCUCUUCUCUUCUCUUUUUUCUUUUUUUUCUUUUUCCUGAAAUAUUUGUAUCAUGAACGUGAAGAGAUUUUAGGAGAAAUGUGAUAGAAAUGAUACCAGAGCAUGGAGGAGAUUAAGUUAAAAAAGUAAAUGAACAUGUAGGAGAAUUGCAACAAGAUAAGGUAUAUUGCCCUGGAACCUGAAACCUAAUUUUUUGGGGGAUGAAGAGUGGUUCUGUGGGAAAAAAAAAAAAAAAAAAAGGUAGGGGAAAUAGGAAAAAGAUGACAAGGAAAAUAACGUCUGGAGCUUUGGUCCAAUGAAUUGCAAAAGUAGAGUCACUUUUAGCUACAAAGACUGAGAGGACUCAAUCAAAGCACAAGGAAAGUCAAUAAUUAUGUUAUAGGAGAAGAGAAGGAGAGAGUAGGAGAUAUUUUCAGAUUAAAAAAUGUUAUCAAACUGGAUGAACCAGGUGGCUGUUAAGAAAGUCAUGGUAGUGUUGGUUAGGGACAGGUAGGAAAGAAGCCCUGGUGGUGACUAGACUGGAAAAACACAGUGAGAGGUCAGAGAAGGAUCAGCAUUCAGUGAAAACAACUCUGCAGAGCUGACCAGAGCUGCCAAACACUGUGGAUAAAUAUACAGUUAGGGGGUUGUGUGAAUAAUUACCAUUGCAUCUGCAGGUGGGUAGGAGGCUGUGGAGAGAAAAAAGUGAAACUAAGAUGAAUAUUGAGGAAAAGACUGAUGGGUUCAGAUCACAGAAACUGGGAGGUAUGAGGAGACCUUAAAAAGUUGCACUCAGGAGAGGAGAAGGAGUGCAAAAAAGAGAGUGAUUGAAAUAAAACCCUUUUGUGCCCAAGAAACUCUAAAAGCCUUUUCAUCCAGAACAUACAAUGAAAAUCUGCAGUAAAAGGCAGCUAUGUGAGUAGUAUCAAUUGAUAAGACAUAAUUCCUUAACACAUAUUAAAGCAGAAGGAAAUGCGCAUACACUCCAAAUGCAUGCGCAUACACUCCAAAUGCAUGCUACGUUUGAGAAAUGGAGUGGUCAUUCCACAGAUGGUAAGAGAAAGAGAGGAAGUAGAAAUGAGGUGUAAUGGUUCUGAUGCAGCCUGACAUAAGUCACAUCCAGGUUCCUCUUUUUGUCUAAGAUUACCACAUUUCAGUAUUUCCUCUAGAUCCUCCUCUACAGAUUUUCCUACUGUGCUAUGAGUCAGAGAGACACAGCAAUCAGGGUAAAGAGAUUAUGAUAUCACACCAAGGUUCUCGACAUACUUGGAUAUGUGAAGUAAUUUUGAUUUAUGGAGUGAAGCAAUAAUAAAAAGAAAGAAAUGCAAUUGGGAAAUAUACUAAUUGUAUGUGGAAAAACCCUUGAUAUUCUGUGAUGGGGAUUUUCUGCAAAGCUUAAUUUUUUUUUUAAUCUGAAUAAUAGUUUGACAAUGGAAAUGUGUAUAGCCCCACAGCUGACUCUCCCAACAUGCCUUUGAACAUGGAGAGCCGGCAACUUUCCUGCAAUCCUCUUUUUCCUGGGUCUCAGCUCUUUGUCUUAAAAAUGAAGAUGGAGGAGAGAACAGAAAUAGCUAGUAAUUUCUCAUUCCUUACCAGCAUUUAGGAGGGAACAGUCAUAGAGAUGUAAAAGAUUUUCCUAGGCAGAAUGCAUGGGAAAUGAUUUCUAACAACGUGCAAUCAGAUAUAUUUCUUUCUCUGUGCCAUGUACCACAUAGUGGUAUAUACCACUAUACACUGUAUGUAUAGUAUACAGUAUAUAUGCACAGACAUACUGUUGCUUGUGUAUGCUGUAGUGGAAUCCAGAAAUAUGAAUGCUUUUGAAAAUCAUGCCUCUGGAUUUGAGCUGGCCAUUAGAGUGGGACACUGGGGAAAAAAGAAUGAUUGACUUGGUUGAAGGCAUACUUCUGCAGCAGCCUUGGUAUCCAAUUUCAAGGGUCCCAAUCCAGCAUGCACAUGAUCCUUAAAGCCUACUGUGACUGCAUACUGUUUCUAGCCUUUGAAGGCACAGGUUUAUGUAAAGCAUAUAUUUGAGAUGUGUCUUCAUCUUCACUAAUAUACAGUCUGAAGAAAACAAAACCAAAGGCAUUAUGUCCAGCUCCAUUUUUGCAGAAAAACAAAUUGAUCUUGAUCUCAACGUAGAGAAGUCUGAUGACUCUUUGACAUAAUGUUCUGGGAUUGCUUGGACUGAGUGUUAAGCUAACUGAAUUUUGAGAUUUCAUCACACUUACUUUGUAAAUAAGGGUCAGUAUCUUUGACAAAAAGAGGGGUCAGAAUUUGGUGUUUGUUGGUAUGCUUCUUUGGACGUCAUGGCAAACUUUGUAAGGGAAACAUAUUCAUCUGAGUGCUUCUGCAUUUGAGUAACACUAGAAGUGAUAGUUGCUCCAUAUCUCGUCUAGUACAGAUACUGAAGAAGAAAA